CCUUCAUGCAUGACCUUUCAGCGCUCUCCCUUGGACUAUACUCUGCCAGCUGCCAGAUUUAAGCCUUUCCUUUUACUUUUCUUCUGAGCUGUCUGCUGUUUCUCUGUGUCAGUCUAAUUGUUUUAAUAGAGGUAAUUUUCCUUCAUACUUACCGUGGUUAUCUGAUUUUUCUGCAAAGUAAUGCUUGCUCGGAAGUGUGUUUACCAACCUGCCGGCUUUUCAACCCUCUGCCUAAGUACAACCUGUCCUCUGCCUUUCAUCUCUUGUAGCAGAACGUCAAGCAAGGACCAGGACCUCCUUCUCCCUGGCAAGUUGUCCAGCUCCUCCCAGGGGAUUCCAAGGUGUUUCCAUAGUAGAUGUGCUAUGUCAUCCCUCAAAUCAACUGGAUCUUGUUGAACAGAGAAUAAAGGCUGUUAAGGUGUUGUGUGAGGGGGAUGUAUUCCCACUGGUGCCUUCAGAGAGAGUCAUGUCCGCUGGGCAGAGGAGCAGAGACAGCCGCCCCAUCUCUGGCUGCUACCACUUAACCAGGCUUUAACUCGAUUGGCUCUCGGUUCACUCCACUCCAAAGGCUUACAGGACACACUGUUCACACUCUGACAUAAUAAAGUAAUACUCUGGAUUGAGAAA